AUGCUCCUUGAAGUCUUCACCGGAAAGAGGCCGACCGAUGCUAUGUUUGUUGGAGAACUGAGCCUUAGACGAUGGGUUCACCAGUUAUUUCAGGCGAAUCAGCUUGUCCAUGCCGUGGAUAGACGGCUACUGCAAUGCUCCGACACGGACAUUGGUUUUCUUGCGCCAAUACUAGAGAUUGGUUUGCUCUGCUCCAAUGACUCGCCACGCGAUAGGAUAACGAUGAGCGAUGUAGUCUUGAGGCUGAACAAGAUCGAAGCAGAGUACGCUAAAAAUACAACAUCUACUUCAGGAAGUGUGUCACAGUGA
rnacentral:rRNA from 1 species